GACGAACGCUGGCGGCGUGCUUAACACAUGCAAGUCGAACGGAAAGGCCUGCUUUCCCUUGUGGAUUGUGGGUACUCGCGUGGCGAACGGGUGAGUAACACGUGAGUGAUCUGCCCCCAACUUGGGUAUAAGCCUGGGAAACUGGGUCUAAUUACUGAUAGGACUGUAGGGUGGUGUCAGUGGUGGCAAACGAUUUUCUAGUGGAUGGGGAUGAGCUGGCGGCCUAUCAGCUUGUGGGAGGGGUAAUGGCCGACCACGGCGGCGACGGGGAGCCGGCCGGAGAUGGUGGACGGCGACAGUGAGACUGGGAUACGGCCCAGACGGCGAGGGGAGGCAGCAGUUGGGAGGAGUGGAAAAGGGGCGGAAGCCUGAUGCAGCGACGCCGCGUGGGGGAUGACGGGCUUCGGGAGGUAAGCUCCUUUCGACCGCGAGGAAGCCGCCUGGUUGGAAGGGUGGUGACGGUAGUGGUAGAAGAAGCACCGGCUAACUACGUG
rnacentral:rRNA from 1 species